AACGAACGCUGGCGGCAGGCCUAACACAUGCAAGUCGAGCGAGCAUUUCGGUGCUAGCGGCGGACGGGUGAGUAACGCGUGGGAACGUGCCCUUUUCUGCGGAAUAGUCCUGGGAAACUGGGGGUAAUACCGCAUACGCCCUUUUGGGGAAAGAUUUAUCGGAGAAGGAUCGGCCCGCGUUGGAUUAGGUAGUUGGUGGGGUAAUGGCCCACCAAGCCGACGAUCCAUAGCUGGUUUGAGAGGAUGAUCAGCCACACUGGGACUGAGACACGGCCCAGACUCCUACGGGAGGCAGCAGUGGGGGAUCUUAGACAAUGGGGGCAACCCUGAACGAGCCAUGACGCGUGAGUGAUGAAGGCCUUAGGGUUGUAAAGCUCUUUCAGCUGGGAAGAUAAUGACGGUACCAGCAGAAGAAGCCCCGGCUAACUCCGUG
rnacentral:rRNA from 1 species